rnacentral:lncRNA from 1 species
GCGAGGGGAGGACGACGGGGAAGCAGCUGUUGGUGGCUGUUAGUAUUUCCGUCCGUGUCGCCCGUACCUAGUGACGCGGGGGCGCUUCCAUACGGGAUAAGAAAAUGUUAAUGUGACUUCCAACAUUGUCGUGGCGCUCUCGUCCGAAAUUUUUACUUCGUUUCCUUCAUUAAUCAACAAAGUCAGAUCAAUGUUGCUCCUAUAAAAAAAGGACUGCUACG